GGAAGAUUCUGCGGUUAGCAAAUCAUUUUGAAAAGAUGUAGCCUGGUGGAUGCACGGUGCCAUGCUCUGUGGAAGAUGAAACGAUGUUUAAAAUCCGACACUCCCUCUUGUGGAGCUUACAUUAAUAUCAACAGCUAACAUUAAGCACCAUAUCAGGAAAUGUUCUUACAUGUAUUUACUUAUUUAGAAUUGAGAAGAAUUUUAUGAGGUAUGACCUCAUUUUUACAAAUGACAUAUCAAAGCUCCAAAGAUUACAUUAUAAGCCAGAGACACAGCUGGAAGAAGAGGGUCAGAUCCCUUGAUCCAAAGCCCGUCGUUCUACACAGCAAUCUGAAAGCUGAAGAUUUGUAACAAGUUCAAGAUCAGCUCUUAAACUCUUUGGGCCACCUGUCUCUAAGAAGUUGUCAGAAGUUAAGGAUCCUCCGUUCUGAAAAAUCUCCAGAAUGGAACUGUCAGAAUCCUUUCUUUUUGGACUAAAGGAAAAGAACACUUUGUGGUUUGAUCUUUAACAUGCAACUUAGUCACUGUGGGUAAAUCGUCUUCUUCCUCCAAUGUGACUGAGUGGGAGAGAAAUCUAAGAAGAAAGAAUGAAACAGACAUAUGAAGAGGAACACAGGACAUAGACAGAGAGCACUCCCAUGGUUUCUGCUGCCCU